rnacentral:rRNA from 1 species
GACGAACGCUGGCGGCGUGCCUAAUACAUGCAAGUAGAACGCACAGUUUAUACCGUAGCUUGCUACACCAUAGACUGUGAGUUGCGAACGGGUGAGUAACGCGUAGGUAACCUGCCUGGUAGCGGGGGAUAACUAUUGGAAACGAUAGCUAAUACCGCAUAAUAUUAAUUAUUGCAUGAUAAUUAAUUGAAAGGUGCAAUUGCACCACUACCAGAUGGACCUGCGUUGUAUUAGCUAGUAGGUGAGGUAACGGCUCACCUAGGCGACGAUACAUAGCCGACCUGAGAGGGUGAUCGGCCACACUGGGACGGAGACACGGCCCAGACGCCUACGGGAGGCAGCAGUAGGGAAUCUUCGGCAAUGGACGAAAGUCUGACCGAGCAACGCCGCGUGAGGGAAGAAGGUUGUCGGAUCGUAAAGCUCGGUUGUAAGAGAAGAACGGGUGUGAGAGUGGAAAGUUCACACUGUGACGGUAUCUUACCAGAAAGGGACGGCUAACUACGUG